GACGUAGGGUGCGAGCGUUGUCCGGAGUUACUGGGCGUAAAGGGCGCGUAGGCGGUCUUGUGCAGUCGCACGUGAAAGCCCCCGGCUCAACUGGGGAGGGUCGUGCGAGACGGCGAGACUGGAGGCAGGGAGAGGCUGGUGGAAUUCCCGGAGUAGUGGUGAAAUGCGUAGAGAUCGGGAGGAACACCGGUGGCGCAGGCGGCCAGCUGGCCCUGACCUGACGCUGAGGCGCGAAGGCGUGGGGAGCGAACGGG
rnacentral:rRNA from 2 species